rnacentral:rRNA from 1 species
GACGAAGGGGGCUAGCGUUGCUCGGAAUCACUGGGCGUAAAGGGUGCGUAGGCGGGUUUUUAAGUCAGAGGUGAAAUCCUGGAGCUCAACUCCAGAACUGCCUUUGAUACUGAAAGUCUUGAGUAUGGGAGAGGUGAGUGGAACUGCGAGUGUAGAGGUGAAAUUCGUAGAUAUUCGCAAGAACACCAGUGGCGAAGGCGGCUCACUGGCCCGAUACUGACGCUGAGGCACGAAAGCGUGGGGAGCAAACGGG